GAGGUGUAGCGCAGUUUGGUAGCGCACAUGGUUUGGGACCAUGAGGUCUGGGGUUCGAGUCCCUGAUGGCCCACCA
rnacentral:tRNA from 1 species